UUAUGUGGUAUAAUCUAAGGCAAUGGUUUUCUGCUGGGGUUGAUUUUGCCCCCUAGAAGGACAUUUGGCAAUACCUGGAGAUAUUUUUGAUUGUAAAAACUGGGAUGAUGCAGGUAGAUGCCAAAAAUAUGUUUCUAUUAAAUAUUUUACAUUGCACAGAAUAGUCCCCUACCUUCAAGAACAAAGUAUCUGGUCCAAAAUCCUAAUAGUGCUAAGGUUGAGAAAUCUUGUUUAAAGAUAAAGAAAACAAGACUGAAAAAUCUAGAAUGAGAUAUGCAAGUUGUCACAGUCACAAAUAAUGAAUCCAGUGUCGUAUGAAAGUUUCUACUUAGAGACAAGAUCUCACUGUGUCACCCAGGCUGGUCUUAAACUCAGGCUCAAGCAAUCUUCCUGCCUCAGCAUACCAAAGGGUUGAGAUUACAGGCAUGAACCACCACCUCUGGACUUCCUCCUUAUAAUUUUUAAAUAUUUUGUGAAUACUCUGUACCAUCAUUCUCAAGUAAGG
rnacentral:lncRNA from 13 species